rnacentral:rRNA from 1 species
AACGAACGCUGGCGGCGUGCCUAACACAUGCAAGUCGAACGGGAAAGCCCGCAAGGGUGAGUACAGUGGCGCACGGGUGCGUAACACGUGGGUAAUCUGCCCAGAAGCCCGGAAUAACUCCCCGAAAGGGGUGCUAAUGCCGGAUGAGACCACGGGGACCUCGGUUCCUGGGGGAAAAGGUGGCCUCUGUAUACAAGCUAUCACUUCUGGAUGAGCCCGCGGCCCAUCAGCUAGUUGGCGGGGUAAUGGCCCACCAAGGCUACGACGGGUAGCUGGUCUGAGAGGACGAUCAGCCACACUGGAACUGAGACACGGUCCAGACUCCUACGGGAGGCAGCAGUGGGGAAUCUUGCGCAAUGGGCGAAAGCCUGACGCAGCAACGCCGCGUGUGUGAUGAAGGUCUUCGGAUCGUAAAGCACUGUCGGGAGGGACGAAUAAGGGCCGGGUGAACAAUCCGGUCCGACGACGGUACCUCCAGAGGAAGCACCGGCUAACUCUGUGCCAGCCGCCGCCGUAAUAC